rnacentral:rRNA from 1 species
AUUGAACGCUGGCGGCAUGCCUUACACAUGCAAGUCGAACGGCAGCACGGGGGCAACCCUGGUGGCGAGUGGCGAACGGGUGAGUAACACAUCGGAACGUGCCCAGUAGUGGGGGAUAGCUCGGCGAAAGCCGGAUUAAUACCGCAUACGACCUACGGGUGAAAGCGGGGGAUCGCAAGACCUCGCGCUAUCGGAGCGGCCGAUGUCAGAUUAGGUUGUUGGUGGGGUAAAGGCCUACCAAGCCGACGAUCUGUAGCUGGUCUGAGAGGACGACCAGCCACACUGGGACUGAGACACGGCCCAGACUCCUACGGGAGGCAGCAGUGGGGAAUUUUGGACAAUGGGCGCAAGCCUGAUCCAGCCAUGCCGCGUGCGGGAAGAAGGCCUGGUGUAACGU